rnacentral:tRNA from 1 species
CAUGGUUUACUUGGUCGAAACGCUUGUCUGGUAAACAGGAGAUCGUGAGUUCGAAUCUUGGUG